rnacentral:rRNA from 1 species
UACGGAGGGGGCUAGCGUUGUUCGGAAUACUGGGCGUAAAGCGCACGCAGGCGGUCUUUUAAGUUUGACGUGAAAGCUCCCGGCUUAACUGGAGAGGUCGUUGAAUACUGGAAGACUUGAGGCAAUGAGAGGGGUGUAGAAUUCCCGGUGUAGUGGUGGAAUGCGUAGAUAUCGGGGGGAAUACCAGUGGCGAAAGCGGCACCCUAGCGUUAGCCUGACGCUCAUGUGCGAAAGCGUGGGGAGCGAACGGGAUUAAGAAACCCGAG